AACUUCUGAAUGUUGACUCGGAUCAGGUAGGAAUA
rnacentral:rRNA from 1 species